rnacentral:rRNA from 1 species
AACGAACGCUGGCGGCAGGCCUAAUACAUGCAAGUCGAACGAUCCUUCGGGAUAGUGGCGCACGGGUGAGUAACACGUGGGAACAUACCCUUGGGUGCGGAACAACGUCGGGAAACUGACGCUAAUACCGCAUAAUGACUCCGGUCCAAAGAUUUAUCGCCCAAGGAUUGGCCCGCGCUAGAUUAGGUUGUUGGUGAGGUAACGGCUCACCAAGCCUACGAUCUAUAGCUGGUCUGAGAGGAUGAUCAGCCACACUGGGACUGAGACACGGCCCAGACUCCUACGGGAGGCAGCAGUAAGGAAUAUUGGACAAUGGGGGCGAACCCUACGAUCCACGCCA